rnacentral:rRNA from 1 species
CCCUUAGAUGUUCUGGGCUGCACGCGCGCUACACUGAUGCACUCAACGAGUUUACGACCUUGCCCGAUAGGGUUGGGUAAUCUUUUUAAAAUGCAUCGUGAUGGGGAUAGAUUAUUGCAAUUAUUAAUCUUCAACGAGGAAUUCCUAGUAAGCGCGAGUCAUCAGCUCGUGCUGAUUACAUCCCUGCCCUUUGUACACACCGCCCGUCGCUCCUACCGAUUGGGUGCUCAGGUGAAUAAUUCGGACUGCAGCAAUGUUUGGAUCCCGAACGUUGCAGCGGAAAGUUUAGUGAACCUUAUCACUUAGAGGAAGGAGAAGUCGUAACA